rnacentral:lncRNA from 1 species
CAAAAACGACCUACUAUAUAAACAAAAAUUUCGCUUUUCAUUAACGACCUUUGGCAAAACACAUAGCACAAUAUUUUCCUCUCUACCAAAGGAUCAAUUGCAAAACUCUUCACCAUAUGAUUCAUUGAAGAAAAAAAAAAUAUCAAACACCUUUUCAAACAAAACACCUAUAAAAAAUCCUCACUACUUCCAGAAGAUUAGUUGAUUGAAGAUC